AUUGAACGCUGGCGGAAUGCUUUACACAUGCAAGUCGAGCGGCAGCGCGGGGGCAACCCUGGCGGCGAGCGGCGAACGGGUGAGUAACAUAUCGGAACGUACCCAGUCGUGGGGGAUAACUAUCCGAAAGGAUAGCUAAUACCGCAUACGUCCUGAGGGAGAAAGCGGGGGAUCGCAAGACCUCGCGCGAUUGGAGCGGCCGAUAUCGGAUUAGCUAGUUGGUGGGGUAAAGGCUCACCAAGGCGACGAUCCGUAGCGGGUCUGAGAGGACGACCCGCCACACUGGAACUGAGACACGGUCCAGACUCCUACGGGAGGCAGCAGUGGGGAAUUUUGGACAAUGGGGGCAACCCUGACCCAGCCAUUCCGCGUGAGUGAAGAAGGCCUCGGUU
rnacentral:rRNA from 1 species